rnacentral:rRNA from 1 species
AUUGAACGCUGGCGGAAUGCUUUACACAUGCAAGUCGAACGGCAGCACGGACUUCGGUCUGGUGGCGAGUGGCGAACGGGUGAGUAAUGUACCGGAACGUGCCCAGUCGUGGGGGAUAACGUAGUGAAAAUUACGCUAAUACCGCAUACGAUCUAUGGAUGAAAGCGGGGGAUCGCAAGACCUCGCGCGAUUGGAGCGGCCGAUAUCAGAUUAGGUAGUUGGUGGGGUAAAGGCCCACCAAGCCAACGAUCUGUAGCUGGUCUGAGAGGACGCACCAGCCACGAGGGAACGGAGACACGGUCCAGCCUCCUAGGGGAGGCAGCAGGGGGAAAUUUUGAACAAUGGGCGAAGGCCUGAUCCAGCCAUUCCGCGUGAAGGAUGAAGGCCCUCGGUUUGUAAACUGCUUUUGUAAAGAAAAAAAAGGUUUCUACUAAUACGAGGAGCUCAUGGCGGUACUGUAAGAAAAAGCACCGGCAAACUACGUGCCAGCCGCCGCUGUAA